UUUGUUAUGAAAUGUGAUGAUGCAUGGCAUGAAAAUUAUUCUGUGGUUUAUUUUUGCUACUCUCGGCAGCUUUAGAUCCGGAACUUAGCUGCAAUUCCCUUAGUCAGUGCUGAGCAUUGACGUACGUGGAUGGACAGAAUAGUACUUCUAGAAGAAAUAUUAACAGAAGGGUAUAUUUGGCCGUCAGCGCGUACCACCCUAUUUGUGGACCUUCGUCCCAUAACAUCUUACACACAGGUAAGACAAACACCUACAAAAACAACUUCACACACAAACACAAACGAUCUUCAUCGUCCUUCCUAGACUAGUACCACAUAACGAUC